rnacentral:tmRNA from 1 species
GGGGACGUAGCGGGUUCGACGGAGGAGGAAGGGGUCGGGCUGCAGGCCGAGGUGCCGUCCACCUCGUAAAACAGGCGGCAAAAAAAGACUGCCGACUCUAAGGCUUACGCCCUCGCGGCCUAAGUAAGGCCGCGACGUCCGGCCCCGCCUGACCCCGGCGGGUGGGGCCCGGGCGACAAAGCAGCCGGGGUGCAGCCGCCCGGACGCCGAUAGGGGCGGCCCAAGAAGAAUCGGCUGGUCCGGUCCCGGCUCGGUCGGCGGAGACGGGCCGGACGAGAAAAAGUGGGGCCGACUAAGCCUGUAGCAAGCCCGGCUGGGUCCUUCUCCGGACGGGGAGUUCGACUCUCCCCCGUCUCCACCA